rnacentral:rRNA from 1 species
UACGGAGGGAGCUAGCGUUGUUCGGAAUUACUGGGCGUAAAGCGCACGUAGGCGGCUUUUUAAGUCAGGGGUGAAAUCCCGGGGCUCAACCCCGGAACUGCCCUUGAAACUGGAGAGCUAGAAUCUUGGAGAGGCGAGUGGAAUUCCGAGUGUAGAGGUGAAAUUCGUAGAUAUUCGGAAGAACACCAGUGGCGAAGGCGACUCGCUGGACAAGUAUUGACGCUGAGGUGCGAAAAGCGUGGGGGAGCAAACAGGG